GGGGGGAGGCCGGAUCCUGGGCUGUGUCCCUGGGGCCUUGUGCUCCGGGGCCUGCGCUGUUGGAUUCACGCUCCCGCCCCGCAGCCUCCU
rnacentral:pre_miRNA from 1 species